AGUGAACGCUGGCGGCGUGCUUAACACAUGCAAGUCGAACGAGAACGGGUUAUAGCUCGCUAUAAUUGUCAGCUAAGUGGCGCACGGGUGAGUAAUGUAUAGGUAAUAUGCCUCUUACUAAGGGAUAACAAAUGGAAACGUUUGCUAAUACCUUAUACUCCUUAUUAACAGAAGUUAAUAAGGGAAAGAUUUAUUGGUAAGAGAUUAGCCUGUAUUGUAUCAGUUAGUUGGUGGGGUAAUGGCUUACCAAGACUAUGACACAUAACUGGUUUGAGAGGAUGAUCAGUCACACUGGAACUGAGACACGGUCCAGACUCCUACGGGAGGCAGCAGUGGGGAAUAUUGCACAAUGGACGAAAGUCUGAUGCAGCAACGCCGCGUGGAGGAUGACACAUUUCGGUGCGUAAACUCCUUUUAUAUGAGAAGAUAAUGACGGUAUUAUACGAAUAAGCACCGGCUAACUCCGUGCCAGCAGCCGCCGUAA
rnacentral:rRNA from 1 species